AUUUUAUUUCGCUUUGAAGUAGCCCUCGCCAUUCCAUUAUUUCAUAUAUGUGAAGUGAACAAACAGCAGAUUUUCUUGUGAAUAAACCUGGUUAAUUUAAUUAAGAUAGUUAAUUCUUAACAAAUUAAAAAUGAUUAAGACAGAAAAUAUUUAUCAAGCGGCCCAUAAACCUGAGGAGCACCAAAAUGGUGGAGAGGUAGAAGUUGAUCACCUUCGCAAAAUGUUUAUUGGAGGUUUGUCAGCAGUAACAACUGAAGAGUCUCUCCGGAGUUUUUAUAAGCAAUGGGGCGACGUAGUUGAUGCUAUAGUUAUGCGUGAUCCAGCAACAAAGCGUUCCCGCGGAUUUGGAUUUAUUACUUAUUCUGACACGUUUAUGGUAGAUCGAGCGCAAGCGGCCCGUCCACACGUAAUUGACGGCAAGCAAGUAGAUUCGAAGCGUGCAUUACCUAAACCUGAAUUAGGUAAACCAGAAGCUAGUACAACGGUGAAAAAAAUAUUUGUAGGAGGUUUAAAAGAAAAUCAUGAUGAACAGGCUUUAACGGAACAUUUCUCACAAUUUGGUAAUGUGGUUGGAGUUAAAAUUUUAACAGACAAAACUACCGGACGCAAACGUGGUUUUGCAUUUGUGGAGUUUGAUGACUACGAUGCCGUAGACAAAGCAGUUUUACAUAAAAAUCAUACAAUUAAGUAUGUGUUGGUUGAUGUAAAAAAAUCUGUUUACAAACAAGAGUUAGCCAAGAAACGAGCCACUCAAGCACAGCAAGCAGGUGUGCCCCCAGGUGCAGCACCUGCAAACGGGUAUCAACAACCAGCAGCUCCAUAUGCCCAACAGCCUGCCUAUGGCUAUCCACCACAAAUGGGUCCACCGGCAUACAAUGGAUGGGGCGGUUAUCCCCAAGCUGCACCUCCCGCUGCUUAUCAACAACCUCCACCAGCAGCUCCCGUUGCUGGAUACGGUGCUUAUACAGCGCCGCCGCAAAACGGUGCAGCUCCGGGUUGGGGUGCGCCCGCCGCAUAUCCAGCUCCUACCGCUUGGCCUCAAAAUGGGUAUGCAGCAGCUCCCCCUGCCGCGGCCCCAGUACCACCACCUACAGCUGCACCUGCUGCCGCACCAGCCGUUAAUAGUUGGAAUGGAGCCGCCGCCGCACCUACUGUAGCUGCUCCACAAAAUUUUGGCGAUUACCAACAGUCAUAUAACGGUGGCCCGCAAAAGGCCGGCAGCUUACAAGGAAACCGAAUGAACCCUUAUAGUGUGUCAUCGGCGCCUAGUUAUGGUUCAACCGCUUCAACCGGUUACCUGAAUAUGUCCAAUACGACGGUUAAAAGCUCGUCAGUGAACACUGGUUACAAAACGCAAUCUUAUGUUGCUCAGACCAAGCGUUCUUAUUAGAUUAUACGCUUUCAAGAGAAUAUAUCUGCAACAAAUGAAGUCAAUACAGUAAAAAGUGUAUUUUAAAAAUUCCAUGGUCAUACUAUUAUGUAAGCUUGCUACAGCAGGCAUUUAAGAUGUAUGCUUAUACAUAACAUUAAUGUACUACUACAUAGAUAACCAGAAUUAUUUUAAGAGAAACAAUUUAAAAAACAAAACAACCCAAUCCAACCCCAAGAAAGAAAGAUUUACAUAAAAUGCACUACGUACAUUACAUAGAGCAAAACAAAAGAACAAAACGCACUUCAUUAAGGAUGAUUUCCGAUAUUUAUAGUAAUUAAUAUAUGAACAUAUGUAUUUUAAAGCAAAUAACUUAAAUAAUACAUUCGCUGCUAUGUACACAUUAUUAUAUAGCGUACAAAAAUGAUAUAGUAGAUCGCUUAUCUAGAUGAUACUUAAUAUCGGAUAAAUAUUUCCAUAAAAGUCAGCGUGCUAACGUUUUGGUAAUAAAAAAAAAUAACAACAAAUACUGAGGCAAUGCAGUUCAAAAGCGACGAAAAAAAUAUUUGAACGUAUUCAGCACAACUUGGAUCAAAAUUGCAGACAGCAAUUAGAAACUCACCAGCAUUGAAACAAAUAUAGACAUUGAUUCAUAGAUUAAGAAACUUAUUUAAUAUUUCAGCACAGCUGUAAAAGCGCUUUAGAACUAGCAUGAAAUAGAAAACAAUUAUAACGAGAGGAAUAAUUGCUGUUAUACUUUGCGUUGCAAAUGAAUUUUGUAGGGUUUUGUUUUAUUUAAUAUUGCUUUGUAUUUCUUUUUUUUUACAUUGAACUAAUACAAGAGAACUGAACUGUUUGUUUAACAUCCAUGACAAAGAAGUUUUAGUUUAUAAAGAGUUAACAGCCUUUACUUUUGGCACUUUAGAAUUCCUAAGUGUAUGUUUUUUUUCCUUUUUUAUUAACACUUGCAAUAUUUUAAAUUAUAAAGAAAAACAAGUUCUCUUAUAGUGACUGCAAAAUUAAACAAAAAAAAUCAAACAAAUAAUAAAAGGAACACUUUUAUACUUUAAUAAUA